CCGUCCUCAUCGCCCUCCUUCCUAGCCCUGCUGGGUGCCCUUUGCUGCAGCAGUUUCGUCCAGGAGGUUGACGCUAUCACACGCCAGCUGCUACAAGAAUCCAUAAGUCGAGUCUGGGAAAGGCUGUUACUGCUUUCACAGUUGACCAAAAUUAUGCAAGGUGCAACUUUUCCUGCUACAGUGUUGCUGUGAUGAAAGAAGCAGCACCUGACAGCAAUUGAUCUUCUGUGCAAUUCUUAGAGGUACUGAGGGGACAUUUUGCUGCUUGAGGCAAAGAACAAGUUGCGCCUCCAUCAUCAGACUGACAGUUGACUCUUACUUCAACACUGAGGAGGGCAUCGCAUUUUCCACUGCACCUGAGGCUAGUCAGCUAGCUUAGGAGACACACAGACCUGUCCUCUAUCACCUCAGCAUCACUCCCCGCCAGCUGCCUCACUCUGACCAAAGGCAGGGCAAGCCUCGCUUCCUCCAGAUUUCUAACUGACUUUAGAAGUGUGGUAAAGUCAGAGGGCAGUACAGACUGAAGCAAGGUCAAACUCAGAUAUUUCAACAGAGCCAGGCUUUGCUCAUGUUGUGAAUCUUGAGGAGGAACUUGAAAGAGAAAAGACCAGAAUCUUGACAGAGGUGGGAAGGCUGUGCUAAGCAAGGAGAUCAGCAUGGAGUGGAGAUGAGGCGAUGUCAGCAACACACCAUAUUCAAGGCCUGACGCUUACCUUGAAGUUACAUAUUUCAAGGCUGAUUUGAAUCUUAAAUUGCCAAAAGCAAAAAUCCAAAAGUGUUUCACAAUGUAGUCAAUAGUUUCACAUGGCUUCACCACCCAUACUACAUCUCUGAAUAGGGCUGGAGACAGAUUAUAAUUGGCGUGUGUGUGUGUGUGUGUGUGUGUGUUUUAAGAGUUAAACUGGUAUACAACAGGACUCAUUGUGCGCAAGCUCUUUUUCUUUUGUUCCGUUGUCACCUGUGAUCAAACAAGGUUUUGCAUAAAUCAACAAACCCUGUUUGACCAGAGACAGCAGCAGGACCAAAGAAAGGUGUCAGCAUCUGUGGGCAACGAACAAUGUCUCCGUCCUAACACUUUCCGUUCUCUCUCUCUCUCAAACUUUAUUCUGCAGAAGAGAAGAAAACGGGAAGAACUCAGCAUGGCACUGACUGCCACACUCCUAGCAGAGUGACAGCUGCAGUGUGCAAUCUGUUAAACACAAAAGCAACCUCCCCCCAAUUUUUAAAAAAAUAUGCUGAGAAGCAAAAGACAAGGAAUGUAGAUUUGGAAAAAUUUAAUCAACGGUAAUUAUGGAUGAAGAAGAGGAGUAGCUCAUCAAGCAUCUACUUGACAUUUUGAGUGGGUUGUCAAGAAGGUGGAUAAUGCCAGCAGGAGAUGUUUUGCUUUUUUUACACAGCCACAUCCCACUGCACUCUUAAGAAAGAAAAAACAACUAGUCAACUUCUGAAAAGUCCCCGCUUAGUCUAUAGGCCUAAAUCAAGCACCCUGCUGAUUGCUUGAUCUGGAACAGUACUUGUCAUUAAAGUGUUACUUUUCUUUCAUUCUGCCAUUCCACACAUUACACAGCAACAUUACACAGCAACAUCCCUGGGUUUGUCACCAUAGGUACGCUAAAGUUGGUGGGAUGGGCCCAGUGAUAGGGCACAUGCUGGCCCAAGCCAAAGAGCAAACCAAGUAACUUCUGCCUGGGGUGCCAAAAUUUCAGGGACACCUGUCUCA